AUUGAACGCUGGCGGUAGGCCUAACACAUGCAAGUCGAACGGCAGCACAGUAAGAGCUUGCUCUUACGGGUGGCGAGUGGCGGACGGGUGAGGAAUACAUCGGAAUCUACUUUUUCGUGGGGGAUAACGUAGGGAAACUUACGCUAAUACCGCAUACGACCUACGGGUGAAAGCAUGGGAUCUUCGGACCUUGCGCGAUUGAAUGAGCCGAUGUCGGAUUAGCUAGUUGGCGGGGUAAAGGCCCACCAAGGCGACGAUCCGUAGCUGGUCUGAGAGGAUGAUCAGCCACACUGGAACUGAGACACGGUCCAGACUCCUACGGGAGGCAGCAGUGGGGAAUAUUGGACAAUGGGCGAAAGCCUGAUCCAGCCAUACCGCGUGGGUGAAGAAGGCCUUCGGGUUGUAAAGCCCUUUUGUUGGGAAAGAAAAGCAGCAGGUUAAUACCCCGCUGUUCUGACGGUACCCAAAGAAUAAGCACCGGCUAACUUCGUG
rnacentral:rRNA from 1 species